rnacentral:lncRNA from 12 species
CUUUAAUUUGGCACCACUUUAUCACUCAGCUCUUCCCAGGUACCAGCUCUUGGUCUGGAGGGGUUUAAAAGCCAAAAGUUAUAAAUGCUGCCCCUCCUGCUACUGCCAAAUCCGAGCUGGGGGAGGUUUGGAUCAGCCUUCCUGGCUGCUCCCUCAGCCCUUGGUGAUGCAGGAGCCUCAGAGCAGCGUCUGGAGCAGGGAGGGAUGUUCCCCAGCUCUGCCCUGCAAGGCCAGGGGGAGAGACCAGUUCAGCUCCAAUGGUCUCAGUCCAGCCCCAAUGUCCCAGUCCAGCCCCAGAUGUCCCAGUCCAGCCCCAAUGUCCCAGUUCAACCCCAAAUGUCCCAGUUCAGCCCCAGUGGUCCCAGUUCAGCCCCAGUGGCCCCAGUCCAGCCCCAGAUGUCCCAGUCCCCUCCCAGCAGAGCUGUGAGUCUCAUUCAUCACUGCUCCCUCUCCCCACCCAGGUGCCCCAGGACGUGCCCAGCCCUCCCCAGCUGGGCUGCCAUGGCUCUGCCACAUUCCACACGUGGAUGCUCCCUGUCUCCACGGAGCACUGGGAUCAUCCCUGGCUUAUUCCCUGCUCCAAAGCAAACCAGCACGAGCCCCACGACUCAGUGCAGCCACCAGGCAAAAACAGCAGCUGGGGUGGUGGGGACAAUCAAAGGGACACUGUCUCCCAAAACCGAAAUGUCUGCAAACCAGCUCUCAGCCAGCACAGGGCCAAAAGAAAUGUUUCUUCCAUGGACUUAUUUAUUUUUGAGAUCUGAAAGGGAGCAGCUGCUGAGGACAAGUGGACAUUGUGCUGGAGGUUUGAGAAACGAGAUGUGGUGGCACAAAGACACUGAUGGUGGAGCUGCCAUCACUGAUCUGCAUUGUCCAGGCCAAGAGGCACUGAAUAAAACUUGAAUAAAAGCCAGGGGGAGUGAAUAGAAGGGAAUGGGGAGAUUCCCACUGCCCUUAAUGAGUUUUGGCUCUGAACCUACACAAAAAGACGUAACUAGCAGUGAAUAAACUGGAUUCUGGAAAUGCUUUCACCUUUGACAGGACAGGCUGGAAUUAGUAAAGUGCCAGAGGGAAUCUGUUUACCAGGCAGUUUUUUUUUUUCCCAAAGGUGGCUGUGUCCCACAUGGAACAGAAAGGCUGAGCUGUGAGUGUUGUCCUUGCAUGGAAAUCCCCCCAAAAAAUUCCAGGCUCCACCACCUUUUCCAGCCUCCUUUGUCCCCCUCCCACCAAGGCCAGCCCUGUUACCUGGGGGUGGAGGUGUCACACCGAGGAGAGCAGCUGUGAACAGCUCUGAACAGAAACAGAAAGUGCUUCAGGAAAAUGGGCACCUAAAUGAGCACCUGUCCCAAGGCUGUGGUGUUUGCUGUCGCUGGAAGGACCUGGUGCAGCCCUGGGGCACAGCAAACACGAGACAUUGGCACAGGGAAUUGGAAAAUUAAGAAAGGAAAUGCAAGGAGAGCUUACAGGCAGGGUUCGUUUGUCCAGCCCCUGCUCACCCCAGGGGUUGGGUGUUGAAGGAAAGCAGAAGGAUUUCAUAUUUCUCCAUCACCCAAGCCCUGGACAGAAUCUGAGGAGCCCGGGGUGGGCUUUGCAGGCAGGCAGAGCUGGAUGUGAGAGCUUUUCCCACCGAGGUCAAGGGAGUCAGUGCAAGGCCAGGAACAGCACCCAGGAGACAACAGACCCUCCUUUGUCCCCCACGAGUCCCCAGCCCAUUCUGCCCACGAAUUCCAGAGAUAAACACACAUUUCUUGGAUGCUCUUCCCCAA